rnacentral:misc_RNA from 1 species
UUCCCCAUGAACAUAGGUACACAUAAAGGCACCACAUGCUAUGAGCGCAUGAGAGCUCACACGUGUGAGGAAAAAAAAAAAAAAGGAGAAGAGAGCCAAACUCUAUUAUAAUUACAUUGCUGUCAUAAAUUACAACAUGUCACACAUGAUGUGAGACUCAACGAAUGGCAUCUCAAAAUUUGGCGUCUGCCUUGUUCACACAUAUGGUACACACUCGAAAUACAAAUCAUAAGAUGCUUUCAUACCUCAUAAGUGCUUGGCAGAUGGUCACAAUCUUUUGUCACUGAUGAAUUAUCAACCCACAGAAGAAACUAUCAUCAUAAGCUUCAUUUUCUUCACUUAUAGACCAAAGCAUUCAACUGUCUUUCUAACUGAGCAUUUUUCAUCUUCUGUCUGUGCAAUUCCUCCACAAGGCUUCCAAUACUUUGUUGUAGAUUAAUCAACUGAGCCUGCAGCUCCCUCUCCCUAGCAGAAGUAGGCGAUAUCUGCAAAAGGUCAUUUGUGGCUGCUUCAGCUGACUCCAUUUGCUUGCCAGAGCUUUGUUCCACACACUUGAUCAAUUUAAGAAUUUCCAUGGCGUUCUGCUGCAAAAUGCAAUGCAGUGAUGGGAGAACUGAGGCAACUGUAAGGUUUGAUGUUGAUAGACUAGUUGAACCUCCACAAACUGGACUGAAAUAACAGUUUGUAGGACCCUUUGGGCUGAGAUCUGCUGAAGUGACUUUGAAGCGUCCCUUACGUUGGACAACUGCUCCUUCUGACAAAUCCUCCGCAGAUGAAAGGUUAUUUGCAUCUCUUUUCUGUCGAUAUAACAAUGGACCACUAUAGUUUCGCUCUGGUUGAUAUUUUGGCUGUAGAAAAUCCCUGUUCUCAUCUCCAACAAUCU